rnacentral:rRNA from 1 species
GACAGAGGAGGCAAGCGUUGUUCGGAAUUAUUGGGCUUAAAGCGGGUGUAGGCGGCUCGGCAAGUGUCGUGUGAAAUCCCUCGGCUCAACCGAGGAACUGCACGGCAAACUGCUUGGCUUGAGGUCGGUAGAGGUGCCUGGAACUCUCGGUGGAGCGGUGAAAUGCGUAGAUAUCGAGAGGAACGCCAGUGGCGAAAGCGGGGCACUGGGCCGAUUCUGACGCUGAGACCCGAAAGCGUGGGGAGCAAACAGGAUUAGAUACCCCCGUA